rnacentral:lncRNA from 1 species
GUUGCUAAGCUCGAUUUUUUUCGUUUUUUUUUUCGGAUUCGUAAUCUACAUAACAAGAGGAUCGUAAAAACGUAAAAAUUACCUCCGAUCUGUUGACGAUUUGCACGGGCUUUGCGAAAGAAAAUCGAGAGGGUUGAGAGAGUUUUUUGAGAUUUUUACCUUUUGGUUUUUGAGAAAUGGUAAAAAAUGUGCCUGAAUGUUUAAUUUAUGCCUGCACAAAUCAUUUCAGUA